rnacentral:rRNA from 1 species
AGUGAACGCUGGCGGUAGGCCUAACACAUGCAAGUCGAACGGCAGCACAGUAAGAGCUUGCUCUUACGGGUGGCGAGUGGCGGACGGGUGAGGAAUACAUCGGAAUCUACUUUUUCGUGGGGGAUAACGUAGGGAAACUUACGCUAAUACCGCAUACGACCUACGGGUGAAAGCAGGGGAUCUUCGGACCUUGCGCGAUUGAAUUAGCCGAUGUCGGAUUAGCUAGUUGGCGGGGUAAAGGCCCACCAAGGCGACGAUCCGUAGCUGGUCUGAGAGGAUGAUCAACCACACUGGAACUGAGACACGGUCCAGACUCCUACGGGAGGCAGCAGUGGGGAAUAUUGGACAAUGGGCGCAAGCCUGAUCCAGCCAUACCGCGUGGGUGAAGAAGGCCUUCGGGUUGUAAAGCCCUUUUGUUGGGAAAGAAAAGCAGCAGGUUAAUACCCCGCUGUUCUGACGGUACCCAAAGAAUAAGCACCGGCUAACUUCGUG